UAAGCAUAUCAAUAAGCGGAGGAAAAGAAACCAACAGGGAUUACCUCAGUAACGGCGAGUGAAGCGGUAACAGCUCAAAUUUGAAAUCUGGGUCUUUCAGGCUCCGAGUUGUAAUUUGUAGAAGAUGCUUUGGGUGCGGCCCCGGUCUAAGUUCCUUGGAACAGGACGUCAUAGAGGGUGAGAAUCCCGUAUGUGAUCGGUGGCUUGCGCCCGUGUAAAGCUCUUUCGACGAGUCGGGUUGUUUGGGAAUGCAGCUCUAAAUGGGUGGUAAAUUUCAUCUAAAGCUAAAUAUUGGCCAGAGACCGAUAGCGCACAAGUAGAGUGAUCGAAAGAUGAAAAGGACUUUGGAAAGAGAGUUAAACAGUACGUGAAAUUGUUGAAAGGGAAGCGCUUGCAACCAGACUUGCGCGGGGUUGAUCAUCCGGGGUUCUCCCCGGUGCACUCGGCCUCGCUCAGGCCAGCAUCGGUUUCGGUGGUUGGAUAAAGGCCUUGGGAAUGUGACUUCUUUCGGGGAGUGUUAUAGCCCUCGGUGCAAUGCAGCCUACCGGGACCGAGGACCGCGCUUCGGCUAGGAUGCUGGCGUAAUGGUUGUAAGCGACCCGUCUUGAAACACGGACCAAGGAGUCUAACAUCUAUGCGAGUGUUUGGGUGUCAAACCCAUACGCGUAAUGAAAGUGAACGGAGGUGAGAACCCUUAAGGGUGCAUCAUCGACCGAUCCUGAUGUCUUCGGAUGGAUUUGAGUAAGAGCAUAGCUGUUGGGACCCGAAAGAUGGUGAACUAUGCCUGAAUAGGGUGAAGCCAGAGGAAACUCUGGUGGAGGCUCGCAGCGGUUCUGACGUGCAAAUCGAUCGUCAAAUUUGGGCAUAGGGGCGAAAGACUAAUCGAACCAUCUAGUAGCUGGUUCCUGCCGAA
rnacentral:rRNA from 1 species